rnacentral:lncRNA from 1 species
GCACAACCCUGAAAUUCGAGGGGAUCAACUUCAUUUCGAGGAUUCAAUCAGUGACACCCGCAAAGAGGGGAAUGACGUCAUGCCGGUGCAUGACAGGCAGAACCCUCGACAGGUUCGGGAGACAACUCCCGAUGAUGCUGAUGAGGAGCAUGUCGUGGAUGCGGUAAGGGUCCUGCAAAAGCAAUAGGCGAUCAUUCUAGGCCAUCUUACACGGCAGGAUAAGGUUAUGACGUAGCUGAAGCAGGCGCUAUCGGGGGCUUCGAAUAAUGCAAAUAGACGAGAUCCAAUUCCUCCCGGUGUUCCUGCAAACCAAACAACGCAGAGAGUCGACAACAACACUCCCAGGGGUGAAGUUGGCUCCGACGGAGCUGGGGGAGCGGAUCCGGUCUCAACAACGAGAAUGACCCGUUCAAGAAUGAACUUUUACGAUUUAUGAGGGAAGUAAACGCCCGCAUGGAUCAAAUCCCGGGCGCGCCACCAGUAUUGAAAGGUCCGGACUCGAAGAAGUAUACUCAAUUGCCGUACAAGCCGAGUGCGGCACCAGAACUAAUCCCAAAGCGGUUCAAAAUGCCUGAAGUGCCAAAGUAUGACGGGACUUCAGACCCACAUGAGCAUAUUACCACCUACACAACGGCGGUAAAAGAAAAUGAUUUAGCUCCUCACGGAAUUGAAUCUGUGUUGCUAAAGAAAUUUGGAGAAAUUCUCACGAAGGGAGCUCUAACGUGGUAUUCAUUAUUACCCGAGCAUUCCAUAGAUUCCUUUGAGAUGCUCGCGGAUUCUUUCAUCAAGGCUCAUGCCGGGGCCAGAAAAGUACAAGCCCAGAAGGCCGACAUAUUCAGGAUCACACAGGGAGAAUCCGAAUUAUUACGAGAAGUUCGGUUACCCGAUUCUAGAAAGAAAGAAUGUUGCUCCCGGUUGUCCCGAAUGAAUGGGCAGUUGAAGCAUUCACCAAAGGAUUGAAUCUGAGAAGCUGAAGGAGAGCUGCUUGAGUUUCAAGCAACAACUUGGGCAGAUGUCCACAACCGGUACGAGUCAAAGAUAAGGAUCGAAGAUGACCAUGUCAGUUCUACAUCAUCGGCCAAAGGACGGGAGAAGAGCAGAGAAAAAUAAAAGGAUGACCACGACGCGGACAAACAGACUUCGAGGGGCCAGUUUUUACCUUACGAGAAGACCGAAGGCCGUGGCAGAAACUUCCGGGCAGCAAACAAGUUCACCAUUGA